rnacentral:rRNA from 1 species
CCGGCGAUGUCCGAAUGGGGAAACCCAGUGCAAUUCGUUGCACUAUCGUUAACUGAAUACAUAGGUUAACGAGGCGAACCGGGGGAACUGAAACAUCUAAGUACCCCGAGGAAAAGAAAUCAACCGAGAUUCCCCCAGUAGCGGCGAGCGAACGGGGAGCAGCCCAGAGUCUGAAUCAGCUUGUGUGUUAGUGGAACGGUCUGGAAAGUCCGACGGUACAGGGUGAUAGUCCCGUACACCAAAAUGCACAGGCUGUGAACUCGAAGAGUAGGGCGGGACACGUGGUAUCCUGUCUGAAUAUGGGGGGACCAUCCUCCAAGGCUAAAUACUCCUGACUGACCGAUAGUGAACCAGUACCGUGAGGGAAAGGCGAAAAGAACCCCGGCGAGGGGAGUGAAAAAGAACCUGAAACCGUGUACGUACAAGCAGUGGGAGCACCUUCGGGUGUGACUGCGUACCUUUUGUAUAAUGGGUCAGCGACUUAUAUUCUGUAGCAAGGUUAACCGUAUAGGGGAGCCGCAGGGAAACCGAGUCUUAACUGGGCGUUAAGUUGCAGGGUAUAGACCCGAAACCCGGUGAUCUAGCCAUGGGCAGGUUGAAGGUUGGGUAACACUAACUGGAGGACCGAACCGACUAAUGUUGAAAAAUUAGCGGAUGACUUGUGGCUGGGGGUGAAAGGCCAAUCAAACCGGGAGAUAGCUGGUUCUCCCCGAAAGCUAUUUAGGUAGCGCCUCGUGAAUUCAUCUUCGGGGGUAGAGCACUGUUUCGGCUAGGGGGUCAUCCCGACUUACCAACCCGAUGCAAACUACGAAUACCGAAGAAUGUUAUCACGGGAGACACACGGCGGGUGCUAACGUCCGUCGUGAAGAGGGAAACAACCCAGACCGCCAGCUAAGGUCCCAAAGUCAUGGUUAAGUGGGAAACGAUGUGGGAAGGCACAGACAGCCAGGAUGUUGGCUUAGAAGCAGCCAUCAUUUAAAGAAAGCGUAAUAGCUCACUGGUCGAGUCGGCCUGCGCGGAAGAUGUAACGGGGCUAAACCAUGCACCGAAGCUGCGGCAGCGACACUAUGUGUUGUUGGGUAGGGGAGCGUUCUGUAAGCCUGCGAAGGUGGCCUGUGAGGGUUGCUGGAGGUAUCAGAAGUGCGAAUGCUGACAUAAGUAACGAUAAAGCGGGUGAAAAGCCCGCUCGCCGGAAGACCAAGGGUUCCUGUCCAACGUUAAUCGGGGCAGGGUGAGUCGACCCCUAAGGCGAGGCCGAAAGGCGUAGUCGAUGGGAAACAGGUUAAUAUUCCUGUACUUGGUGUUACUGCGAAGGGGGGACGGAGAAGGCUAUGUUAGCCGGGCGACGGUUGUCCCGGUUUAAGCAUGUAGGCGGAGGUUCCAGGUAAAUCCGGUACCUUUUAACGCUGAGGUGUGAUGACGAGGCACUACGGUGCUGAAGUAACAAAUGCCCUGCUUCCAGGAAAAGCCUCUAAGCAUCAGGUAACAUUAAAUCGUACCCCAAACCGACACAGGUGGUCAGGUAGAGAAUACCAAGGCGCUUGAGAGAACUCGGGUGAAGGAACUAGGCAAAAUGGUGCCGUAACUUCGGGAGAAGGCACGCUGGUGUGUAGGUGAAGUCCCUGCGGAUGGAGCUGAGACCAGUCGAAGAUACCAGCUGGCUGCAACUGUUUAUUAAAAACACAGCACUGUGCAAACACGAAAGUGGACGUAUACGGUGUGACGCCUGCCCGGUGCCGGAAGGUUAAUUGAUGGGGUUAUCCGUAAGGAGAAGCUCUUGAUCGAAGCCCCGGUAAACGGCGGCCGUAACUAUAACGGUCCUAAGGUAGCGAAAUUCCUUGUCGGGUAAGUUCCGACCUGCACGAAUGGCGUAAUGAUGGCCAGGCUGUCUCCACCCGAGACUCAGUGAAAUUGAACUCGCUGUGAAGAUGCAGUGUACCCGCGGCAAGACGGAAAGACCCCGUGAACCUUUACUAUAGCUUGACACUGAACAUUGAGCCUUGAUGUGUAG